UUUGUAUACAUUUUUACUUGAUACGUACUUAUUUCCGCGAAAUGUCACUUUACGUGUUACUUCAAAGUUACGCGAUGCAAAUGGCCGCAUCUCUAGAUGUGCAGAACGGUACGAAAUUCGUCUCAAAAACGAGCACACUUUUAAUACUUCCAUCAUGAACGGCAUCCUAAGCGAGAGGCAGAUUUAAUUUAAUUUAAUUUAAUUUAGUUUAUUGCAAAGUUAUAUGAAAAAGACUACAUAUUAACAGAGUAAUAGACAGAAAGUAUGAUACAAUAGACUAUAGUUAACAUAAACAUAAAUACAAUAGACAAUAGUAGUUUGUGAAUGGUUAAACGUCAGCAAAAUUGCUGUUACAAAGUAACAAAACUAGAAUAAGACAACAAUGCAAUAAGAGGUAAACUAAUAAUUGAAAUCAUACACAUACACAUACACACGCGCGCGUGCGCGCAUGUACAUUCCAAUUACAUCAACACACCAAUUACAUCAGUCUUGUUUAAAUACUGUGAGUGAUGCGAUGAAACGCGAGUGGAAUGAAAAGAGGAUAGAGAGGGAGAGGUUUUUAUUGAAUCAGGAAAGGAAUUAAAAUAUUUAACAGAGGUGUAGGAGAAAGCGGCACGGAACUUAGUGGACCGAUAUAUGGAGAAGGAUAAGUAAUUUUGGUAUCUGGUGACAAGAGAGUUAAAAAAGAAAUGAUGUUCAGAGUUCAACUAAAGGAGACGUCACAGAUAUAAAGGAGUAUUGGAGCGAAGGAGAGAAAAUACAAGACAGCACAGAUAGAGAAUAAAACGUUGUCAAAUCUUAAGCCAGCCAGAUCUCUGGAAAUAUAUGGUCGUAUUUACGAACACAAGGCGAACAUAGGCGAAGCGAAGACAAGAAUUUUGAAUACGUUGUAUUCGAUUUAGCAGAUAUUGGUUAAGAGACGGAACAUAGACACAUCAACGAAUAAACAAAUAGAUAAAUAAAGUAAUUGAGUUUUUGAGAGCAGGAAAGGAUGGGACAAAGGGGAUAAAGAUAAAUGAGCAUAAGCAGCCCGACACUUGACGGCUACAUGUGACUCGAAUGACUAUGAAGAGUCAACAUGAACAUCAAGAAUCUUAAUAAGGGAGGAACGAGGAAUUGAAGUAGAAUUAAGAAAAAUGUCGAAGGACGGAAUAUGGGAUAACAAUGUUGAGGAACCGACAAUCAACAAGGAUGAUUUAGAAGGAUUUAGAUGCAGGGCAUAUAGUGGACUAUUCGGCAAUAGAUUUUAAGUCUGUAUUCAAAGCAGAACAGGUUGCUAAAGCAUCGAAUGGAUGAAAGGAUUUGAGAAGAAUUAUGUCAUUUGCAUACAUGAAGAGCUCAGAGCACAGAGAAACAUUAGACAAAUCAGAGACAAAAAUAUUAAAGAGUAAAAGUCCGAGAAUGGAAUCCUGGGGAAUACUAGAGAGAAUGGCACGAGUAGAGAAGAAAAGAGGAAAAGGAUAAUAUACGAGAACUUGUUGCGUGCGGUUUGUAAGGAACGAGCAGAUUAACGAGAGAGCAGGAUGAGAAAGAUUGCAUAACUUGAGUUUGACUAAAAGUAGGUCAUGAUUGACGGUAUCGAAAGCCUUUGUGAAAUCCAGCGCAACGAUGGAAGUAAGGCAACAAUUGUCGAAAUUACGAAGCACAAUGUCAAAGAUAUGAAGCAAUUCCUUCGUCGUGCUGUAAGAUCGACGAAAACCAGACUGACAGGAGAGAAGGAUAUUAAAUUGGAGACAAAGGCAUUUUAAGUUGUGAGAAGCAGAUCACACUCAAGCAGCUCUGAGAGGAAAGGGGGAGCAAGAUAGGACGAAAAGAUGAAGAGAAGAAGGGUUAUUAGUUUUAGGAAUGGGAGGAAUAAUUGAGUGUUUCCAGGAGAAGGGAAAGGUACUGUGAGAAAAGAGAAAUUUAACACAUAGAGAAGGGGAUCAAGAGACAUUGAGGAAGGCACAGUAGGAGCGAUCGAAGAGAUCGAGAAGCCCAGAAAGAAGUGGAAGUCAAGCGAAUGCGCUUAAAAAUAUUGUAGAGAUCAUGGGAGAUCAAUCACUGGGAGUGAUUGGAGCAAAAUUGAAGGUCGAGGAAACGUGAAGAGAGGAGGAAAGAAGAUCCUGCCUUUAUUAAAUCAG